rnacentral:rRNA from 1 species
AGCAGUCGCCGCGGGAAUACAGAGGGUGCGAGCGUUAAUCGGAUUUACUGGGCGUAAAGCGUGCGUAGGCGGCUUCUUAAGUCGGAUGUGAAAUCCCUGAGCUUAACUUAGGAAUUGCAUUCGAUACUGGGAAGCUAGAGUAUGGGAGAGGAUGGUAGAAUUCCAGGUGUAGCGGUGAAAUGCGUAGAGAUCUGGAGGAAUACCGAUGGCGAAGGCAGCCAUCUGGCCUAAUACUGACGCUGAGGUACGAAAGCAUGGGGAGCAAACAGGAUUAGAUAUCCGAGUAGUCCCUGUCUCUUAUAC